rnacentral:rRNA from 1 species
UGGCGGACGGGUGAGUAAUGUCUGGGAAACUGCCUGAUGGAGGGGGAUAACUACUGGAAACGGUAGCUAAUACCGCAUAACGUCGCAAGACCAAAGAGGGGGACCUUCGGGCCUCUUGCCAUCGGGUGUGCCCAGAUGGGAUUAGCUAGUAGGUGGGGUAACGGCUCACCUAGGCGACGAUCCCUAGCUGGUCUGAGAGGAUGACCAGCCACACUGGAACUGAGACACGGUCCAG